GAUACAAAUGGCACAAAAACAUCAAAAAUAUAGAUUGAACAUUCAUAUAGUUUGCCUCUCAAUUAAAAAAAGUUGUAAAAAACAUAUCGAACGAGUGAAACAUGCACGGGAUGAUAAAAAGUCUGGUAACGAUACGUAUACCAGAUUGCUCUCGGGAGGCGAACGAUCCUACUAAGCAGAUGAAUAUACAGACGGAAUCCUCGAAGAAACAUCCAUUCCCUUAUAUCCUUGCAGUUAUAGGACUGCUUUAACAACGCAUUACUUAGACAAUGAGUUCAAUGGACUGACGACAUGACAAAAUUAUUGUUAGCAGAAAUACAAACAAACAUAGAAACCUCUAC